rnacentral:rRNA from 1 species
CACGUAGGGUGCGAGCGUUGUCCGGAAUUAUUGGGCGUAAAGAGCUCGUAGGCGGUCUGUUGCGUCGGCUGUGAAAACCCGGGGCUCAACUCCGGGCCUGCAGCCGAUACGGGCAGACUAGAGUUCGGCAGGGGAGACUGGAAUUCCUGGUGUAGCGGUGAAAUGCGCAGAUAUCAGGAGGAACACCGGUGGCGAAGGCGGGUCUCUGGGCCGAUACUGACGCUGAGGAGCGAAAGCGUGGGGAGCGAACAGG